rnacentral:rRNA from 1 species
GACGAACGCUGGCGGCGUGCUUAACACAUGCAAGUCGAGCGGUAAGGCCCUUUCGGGGGUACACGAGCGGCGAACGGGUGAGUAACACGUGGGUGACCUGCCCUCAGCUCUGGGAUAAGCCUGGGAAACUGGGGUCUAAUACUGGAUAUGACUCCACGGUGCAUGUCGUGGGGUGGAAAGCCUUGUGCGGCUGAGGAUGGGCCCGCGGCCUAUCAGCUUGUUGGUGGGGUGAUGGCCUACCAAGGCGACGACGGGUAGCCGGCCUGAGAGGGCGACCGGCCACACUGGGACUGAGACACGGCCCAGACUCCUACGGGAGGCAGCAGUGGGGAAUCUUGCGCAAUGGGCGAAAGCCUGACGCAGCGACGCCGCGUGAGGGAUGACGGCCU